rnacentral:lncRNA from 1 species
AGAGCGUGAAACAGAGCUUGAAGUCAGGAGAGCUUUCGCUUGAGAGGAAGCUUUCCAGGUACGACUUCUAUAGUUUAUUAUCUUCUCAUUGAUUCUCAUUUUUAGUAGUCUUUUUCGGGGCAUUGAUUUGUUGAUUGGUGUGGACAUCAAGGGCCACUCGUUUGUUUUGUUGGAUCUACUCUUUAUAUGCAUGCUCUGUUUUGGUUUUAUUUUGGAGUUUUUGUCUUCUCUUGUGAACAUCUGAUGCUUUGCUCCUUCUCUUAACCUGAUGUAUCAAAAAUCAUUGCUCGUGUUCCCUUUUGAUUCCACCUAUAU